UUAUGAAAGUGAUAUUCAUUUGUAGGUCUGGUAUAACUCCAGAGGGUGGCAAGACUGUGCAUGUAAAGUGAACCCGUGACAUGACAGGAAGAACUCUAGUCUACAAUGAGUAAUGAUGCUGUAAUCCAUUUUGUUGGCACAUUUGUUGCUGCCAUGAAAUGGCUUUCAUUGGUCAUUCCUGUGUUCCCUCAAACUUUACCAAGCACAAUGAAACUUKGAUUAAUUGUUGAGAGACCUCCACUGAUUGACCAUAACAGUCUGCUAUUUGAAUUGUUGUAUGGCAUUUGUUGGAUAGGUUGAGGGAUUUCCUUCAUGUCUGUUGGAGUGAGAAGACCAGUGAGCUUGCAAUGACAGAAACCGUGUCUUACAUAAUGAUUAUUUAGAGAUUCACAGCUAACUAGUCAGUCGUCUCACUUGUUGCAAAGGAAUGGUUAUCCUUAAGAUGGUGAAGGAAAACUGUGCUUGAAUCAUAUGCAAGGUUGCUAGUUGCCAAGGUUUCUACAGUCAAGCCGACAAUUGCCAAUGCCCUGGCUUUAUAUUUUGAAUAUGAUAAAUAUUAUUUCUAUAAGAUUUUGCUCAUGAAAAUAAAUUAUGUGAUUUUUAUUUGUAYAUUAUACUGUAAAAAGAUCUCAAAGUUUUUUAUUUUGUUUAUAUUUAUGAGAAUGAUGGCRUAGAGUGAAAGCAUUUAAUCCAUCCAAUUGUAUCAAAUCAAAAUAGCAAAACACUCAAAUUGAUUAAAAAGGAAAACUAAACUGAA